rnacentral:rRNA from 1 species
GAUGAGCGCUGGCGGCGUGCCUAAUACAUGCAAGUCGAGCGAACGGACGAGAAGCUUGCUUCUCUGAUGUUAGCGGCGGACGGGUGAGUAACACGUGGAUAACCUACCUAUAAGACUGGGAUAACUUCGGGAAACCGUAGCUAAUACCGGAUAAUAUUUUGAACCGCAUGGUUCAAAAGUGAAAGACGGUCUUGCUGUCACUUAUAGGUGGAUCCGCGCUGCAUUAGCUAGUUGGUAAGGUAACGGCUUACCAAGGCAACGAUGCAUAGCCGACCUGAGAGGGUGAUCGGCCACACUGGAACUGAGACACGGUCCAGACUCCUACGGGAGGCAGCAGUAGGGAAUCUUCCGCAAUGGGCGAAAGCCUGACGGAGCAACGCCGCGUGAGUGAUGAAGGUCUUCGGAUCGUAAAACUCUGUUAUUAGGGAAGAACAUAUGUGUAAGUAACUGUGCACAUCUUGACGGUACCUAAUCAGAAAGCCACGGCUAACUACGUG